rnacentral:rRNA from 1 species
UACGAAGGGGCUAGCGUUGCUCGGAAUCACUGGGCGUAAAGGGCGCGUAGGCGGACUCUUAAGUCGGGGGUGAAAGCCCAGGGCUCAACCCUGGAAUUGCCUUCGAUACUGGGAGUCUUGAGUUCGGAAGAGGUUGGUGGAACUGCGAGUGUAGAGGUGAAAUUCGUAGAUAUUCGCAAGAACACCAGUGGCGAAGGCGGCCAACUGGUCCGAAACUGACGCUGAGGCGCGAAAGCGUGGGAGCAAACAGG